UGCCAGCAGCCGCGGUAAUACGGAGGGUGCAAGCGUUGUUCGGAUUCACUGGGCGUAAAGGGUGCGUAGGUGGCUAGGAAAGUUUGAUGUGAAAGCUCCGGGCUCAACCCGGAAAUUGCAUUGAAUACUGCCUGGCUAGAGGAUCGGAGGGGGAAGUGGAAUUCUUGGUGUAGCAGUGAAAUGCAUAGAUAUCAAGAGGAACAUCAGUGGCGAAGGCGACUUCCUGGACGAUUCCUGACACUGAGGCACGAAGGCUAGGGGAGCAAACAGGAUUAGAUA
rnacentral:rRNA from 1 species